GGCGGAUCUAGCCAAGUGGAUCAAGGCAGU
rnacentral:tRNA from 1 species